UGCUGGUUAGCACCUGAAAAGCCGCCUC
rnacentral:piRNA from 1 species